rnacentral:snRNA from 1 species
AGAUGUGAUCUGGCUGUGACCUGUCACACCAUUGAUGCCAGUGUUGAUUCAGCUGAUCUGACUUGCUAGAUCUCCUUCCUCAAUACUCCAUGUGUGUCCCACUCGAAGCUACAAGCUUAGUGGAAGAGGUCUACCUUUCCCAAGGUGGGCAUUUCUCCAGUCAGGGGUAUACAAGUAGUUACACUCCCCUGCUUGAACUUCCAAACAAGCUCCCAGGCGAACCACACGCUGUGAGGAUAUGGUUUGAGAAAUGUAUACCUAGGAAUAAAUCUGACAAACUGUGUAU